rnacentral:misc_RNA from 1 species
AAAGAUCGCAGCCUGCGGCAGCUCCUACAGGGGAUCGAUGUACACCCUGUAGGAGCUGCCGCAGGCUGCGAUCUUU